AAAAAGAUAAGCUAACUAAGCUAGCGGGUUCAUACCCCGCUCAUAAAGGUUCCAGUCCUUUUCUUUUUA
rnacentral:tRNA from 1 species